rnacentral:rRNA from 1 species
AUUGAACGCUGGCGGCAGGCCUAACACAUGCAAGUCGAGCGAGCGGCGGACGGGCGAGCAAUGUAUGGGGACUGCCCGACAGAGGGGGAUAACUACUGGAAACGGUGGCUAAUACCGCAUACUAUCGGAUAACCCAUAUGGGAUUAGCUAGGAGGUGGGGUAAAGGCUCACCAAGGCGACGAUCUCUAGCUGGUCUGAGAGGAUGAUCAGCCACACUGGGACUGAGACACGGCCCAGACUCCUACGGAGGCAGCAGUGGGGAAUAUUGGACAAUGGGCGCAAGCCUGAUGCAGCCAUGCCGCGUGAAUGAAGAAGGCCUUAGGAUUGUAAAGUACUUUCGGCGGGGAGGCGGUACCCGAAGAGAAAGCACCGGCUAACUACGUGCCAGCAGCCGCGGUAAUAC